AAUACAACUUCAAAAGAUUAUGCAGAAUGUAACAAAACUACAGCACUUGGAAAACUGAUCAUCCUCCUGGCUGUUCUGUAUAAUUGCUGGUGAAGUCAUGAGACUGAACAUAUGGAAAAUCUAUCAAGAUUUUAUUUGACUACAUUGAAUAUCUGCUUUGCUUAUUUAU